rnacentral:rRNA from 1 species
AGAUUGAACGCUGGCGGCAUGCCUUACACAUGCAAGUCGAACGGCAGCACGGGAGCAAUCCUGGUGGCGAGUGGCGAACGGGUGAGUAAUAUAUCGGAACGUGCCCAGUCGUGGGGGAUAACGUAGAGAAAUUUACGCUAAUACCGCAUACGAUCCAAGGAUGAAAGCGGGGGACCGUAAGGCCUCGCGCGACUGGAGCGGCUGAUAUCAGAUUAGCUUGGUUGGUGAGGUAAAAGCUCACCAAGGCGACGAUCUGUA